UACGAAGGGGGCUAGCGUUGUUCGGAUUUACUGGGCGUAAAGCGCGUGUAGGCGGGUCGUUAAGUUGGAGGUGAAAUCCCGAGGCUCAACCUCGGAACUGCCUUCAAAACUGGCGACCUGGACUCAAGUAGAGGCAAGUGGAAUUGCGAGUGUAGAGGUGAAAUUCGUAGAUAUUCGCAGGAACACCAGUGGCGAAGGCGACUUGCUGGACUUGUAGUGACGCUGAGACGCGAAAGCGUGGGGAGCAAACAGG
rnacentral:rRNA from 1 species